UACGUAGGGGGCUAGCGUUAUCCGGAAUUACUGGGCGUAAAGGGUGCGUAGGUGGUUUCUUAAGUCAGAGGUGAAAGGCUACGGCUCAACCGUAGUAAGCCUUUGAAACUGGGAAACUUGAGUGCAGGAGAGGAGAGUGGAAUUCCUAGUGUAGCGGUGAAAUGCGUAGAUAUUAGGAGGAACACCAGUUGCGAAGGCGACUCUCUGGACUGUAACUGACACUGAGGCACGAAAGCGUGGGGAGCAAACAGG
rnacentral:rRNA from 1 species